AUUGAACGCUGGCGGCAUGCUUUACACAUGCAAGUCGGACGAGUGGCGAACGGGUGAGUAACGCAUCGGAAAGUACCGGGUAAUGGGGGAUAACUGUCCGAAAGGACAGCUAAUACCGCAUAUUAUUCGAGCGGCCGAGGUCUGAUUAGCUGGUUGGCGGGGUAAAGGCACACCAAGGCGACGAUCAGUAGCGGGUCUGAGAGGAUGAUCCGCCACACUGGAACUGAGACACGGCCCAGACUCCUACGGGAGGCAGCAGUGGGGAAUGUUGGACAAUGGGCGCAAGCCUGAUCCAGCCAUGCCGAGUGUCUGAAGAAGGCCUUCGGGUUGUAAAGGACUUUUGUCAGGGAAGCGGUACCUGAAGAAGAAGCACCGGCUAACUACGUGCCAGCAGCCGCGGUAAUAC
rnacentral:rRNA from 1 species